CUUGGUGCCACUGUGAGAUGUUAUCCCAUAUAUUUCUUCUGGCUAUUUCAGAACUCACUCCAAAUAUCCAGAGCUUGUGUUUCAUGGAUUUGGAUGCACACAUCCAAGGGACAUGAAUGGAGGUCUGACAGGGAAUAUCAUUCUCUAUUCUGAAGUUUGGGUCGAGAUCACUGAUGAAAUUACAUGCCUGAUUCUACAGCAAGCAAUUUUCCAAUAAAAGUUCAGAUGUGAAAUAAUCUAUAUCACUGGCCUUGAUUCUUUUGGAUAUCUACAUGUGUUUCCAGCCUAUAUCUAUAACAGGUGCCAUAUGAC
rnacentral:lncRNA from 1 species